CCACCUUGUCCAAGAUGAGGACUGUGUGUCCAUGAGGUUCCUCUCUCCCUCUCAGCUCACACAAACUCUCCUGUAGGAGCUUCAGGAAGUCUCCAUCCUGCAGACACGCCCCCUCGGACAGAGACUGCAGGUCGGAGAGAGACAGCAGAGGAGCUGCGGAGAGAAUCACCUGCAGGAACAAAACUACCUCUUAAAAAAACCAAACAAACACACAUUAAUUAAUUAAUUAAAUAAGUAAUUAAUUAAUUAAUUUAACCCCUCCCCCACGUUAUCGUUAGUGGCGAGUCCUGACCCGCUGCACCGGCACGCAUCUGUCUGACCUUAAGCAUGUCCACUGUGAUCUUCCUUCCUUUUACUGAAGACUGGAGGCGUUUCAAUUGAGCUGGGAGCUCAGGGUCAGAGGUCAAGGGGAGGAGCAAUGCUCGCCAUACACCUAAAGCCUCCUCCAUCUCUUCAAGAAGUUUCUGAUGGCAGGGGAAAAAAAAGAAAAAAACAAAAACAAAAAAAAAAACAAAAACUGAUAUUUAACUUCGAACAGAGUUUUACUGCAGCAGUCUCUCUGUACGGCUGUGUCUCAAUUACAGCAUGUAUAGUGUAAGUAGGAUCAAACACUUAUUACCCCUACGUAGUGAGCAUACACAGUGAUUAGAAACUUGCUCAACAAAACAACACUGUGUAAAUGAACAAAUAGAAAAAGUUAAGUUAAUGAUUAAAAGAUGAUUCACCUCUUGCGGUUUAUGUAAUACAAGCACUAAUGAAUAUGCACAUAUUAAUGAGUGUACUAUGUGAGAAACACAAUCUUUAACCUGCACACGAGCGUCGAGAGCCUUCCUGCCCUCCCACCACUGCGCCUUGUCUGCUACCCGCGCUCACUUUCUUCUGUCCCUGCAGCACCGCCUCCAUCUCCUCCAGCAGCACCGCCAUAGAGUGCUACACACACACACGCACACACACACACACACACACACACACACACACUAAAUAAACGCACACACAAGUCGGUAAUGAACACUGCAGAAAGGUAAACGUUGCUAGUACGUGUGUCUGUGCAGUCGGGAUCCGCAUGGUGAUGGGGGCGGAGUCACGUUCUAGUCGAGUGAUCAGAACAGUGCUGCCAAUCUCACCAGGACACGCCCCCACGAGAGAGAGCAAACACACGGUCACACCUGCACGAGACGAGGAUGACGGUUAGAGUUAAUCACAGCUAAUCCAGGCGACUCCGGUGCGGUGAUGUUUUACCUGUGGGCAGGUGUUGGAGCUGCUGUGUGAACUCUCGGCUGUGUGUGUGUGGAAACUGCGCCGGCUGUGUGCAGGUGAAGGAGUAAAUGCUCUCCAGAGCAGACAGAGUCUUGGCCUGCGUCUGACUGGAAGAUUCCUCCAGGCUCAGUCUGCUCAGACUCUCCGCCACGUCACCGCUAGACUUCUUCAGCUUCCUAACAAACAUACAGUUCACUAGCUUGGAAUGUUUACAACAAACACUCAAACACACACACACAGUGUUCAUACAGGACAUACCUAAUCCGAUUGGCCAGGUGACGAGUCAUGUGGUGACGAGAGGACACGCCCAGUGACUGAGCGUGCAGCAUUGCCGUGGUGACGGGAUCAGACAGGCCGAGUGACUGGGCGAGCAGCGAGCACAGGUGUGGGUAGAGGGAGGGGUUUGGAAAGUGGUGGAGGAGGAGCCAAGAAGAGAUGAGGAGUGAUUGGAUCCCGUCUACAGAGAGCUCACCUGGUGUGACGUGUGUGUGUGGUAUUGGGAGUCCUGCCUGUCCUGAACUCCUGAGCUCCUUCACACGCGCUCUGGUCAGAUCUGCUCCUAGGUCUCUCCUCAGCACCUCACAGUCUGCGUCAGGGCCAUCAGCUGCACGCACGCACGCACGCACGCACACACACACACACACACACACACACACAUAUCCAGGAUCCAUCUAUACUAUAAACCAGAGUUAUGCAUCAACAACAUACGCACACACACCUGCAUCCAUCAUCUCAGAGUCGAUCCCCUGAAGCUCCUCCAGGCUGAUGUCCAGACCGUCUCCAUCCUCAUCCUCUCUGAUCAUCCUCAUCUUCUCUGGUUUCUCUGCACUGUCAGCGCCGGGAGCUUUUCUGGGCCGUCCCCGUCGCGGCUGCAUCUCUUCCUCGGAGGAGGCGCCACUAGUGCAGGUGCUUUUCUUUGUGGUUCUGGUGCGUCUGGGCCGGUCCUGCGCCGGAGCUCGGCUCAGACAGGAGGGUUUAGGGGCAGGUUCAAGUGCAGAGGAGAUGGAGCACUUAUCAUUUGAUUUGGUCUCCACAGCAUCAGCCACCUCAGCGUCACUGUCAUCACUGAACUCCACCUGGAAGGAUGGAAGGCAAGAGGAAGAAAGAAAGAUGGAAGGAACCCUUUGGUACAUCCUUUGACCUCGUGACCCCACAGCGGCUACUGGGUGUGGCCUUGGCUGCAGGAAGAGGGGUGGAGCUUACUGUAAUAUCAGGCACCUCGUUGGUGAAGUCGAAUGCGCUCAGGUGAGUGGCCGUGCUAGCCGGGGUCAGGACGGAGACGGACCUGGGGGUUCUGUUCGCUCGGGGGGUUUUGAAGACCACACCAGGCUUUGUGGUGCUGAUCUUUGGCACGGAGCUCUUGUUUUUCUUUGAGGAAGCGACAGUGACCUCUCGGUUUUUUUUACUCCCCGGUUCUACGCACGCCUCCCGUUUGUUCUCCGUGAGGUUCUUGGCUGAUGGUGCUGCAGCUGGAAGAGGUCGGUCACCGCUGGAGCUCUUUCCUCUGGUUCUGACCUGUGCUUUGUUUUUGGGAGCCCUGGCGGAGUCCAGCCCCACGCGGAGGAGAAGAGCUCGUCAGGGCUGCACUGCUUCUUUCCAGCCAGAGCCAGGCAGCAGGCCACAGCUUUGGCCCCCAGCAGAGCCGCCUUCAGAGGUCCCAGCUCGGGUAACAGUGCCCCUCUGGGCUCAACAGCUUCCAGUCCUGCCUCGAUCUCCUCCCACAGAGCGGCAGCCUUCCGUGUCUCGGCCACGCCCCGGCACAGCUGCGUCAUCACUGCACUCAGCUGCACCCUCACCACCUCCGGCUGCAUCACGCACGGCUUUUCUGAACAUCCGACGGGCAUCAGUGCUGCCAGGCGGGCGUGGAGUUUAGCGCCGAUGCUGCGACAGCGAAGUAUAGCGAUGUGGCGUAGUCUGCGCGAAUUCUGUGUCUCGUUCUGGGCGUCAGCCUGCGCCAGGGCCCAGAGCACGCUGACUCGGGCCAGGCCAGGUUCAGCGCAGCAGGGACAGGAGCAGCUCUCGGUGUGGCUCAAGCAGGACAGCAUACGCUGCCUUUUGGGCUUCAGAGGGGGCGACGCGUCCCGGCCUAACUCGGACAGCUCCUCUAAAGCGUCCCGGCCCAACGAGCGAGAGCUCAGGAGCCCGCGCACAUCCUCCUCUUCCUCUUCCGGGAGCUCGGGGGUGGAGGCUUUCACAGCCGGGCGGCCUUUACGGGGUUUUAUCUUCACCUCAGAUUUCUGCUGCUGCUGCUGACCAAAAUCUGAAAUGGUAACAGGAGAAACGUCCGUGUACACAGCUACAGUCAUUACUUACUGAGGAAAAGGUUCUCUUACGAGUUGCCACUUGCGUUAUAGCAGCAAUAAACACUCGCUCCCUCACCAGCCUCUCUUUAUUCUCUCUGUCACAGUUAAUGAGACAAAAACGAACAAAAUAAAUAAAAUAAAUAAAUCGCAACUUGUUACGCAUGUUAACGAGAAACCUCUAAAGAAGCGUAAAUUCCUCUGCCUCGAAGACGUCGCAAAACUUAGUCGCAGCUUCACCUCGGACACUGGAGACACCUUCCAUAAACAUUUAACAAGAAUCUUAGUUUAGACUGGGGGAGGGGAGAAAAAAACAACAAAAAAAGAACCACAAAAAAAACAACAAAACAAAAAAACAAAAAAAACAAAAAAAAACACAAUCUGCUGUUACUAUAGGAACGAUAAAGAAUUGGUUAGCAGCUGUGCUACAGUCAGAAAGUUACAUCAGAAGUGAAGCUGAUUAAAAGACUGCACUGUUUACCUGUGCAAAGAUCCAGUAAGUGUCUGACCUGCUCCAGAUCCAAAACACUGGCUUCACCUGCACCUUUCAUCAACUCCAGCUCAGCCUUCAACACCAACAGCUCGGCACAGCUACAACACACACAAAAUAAUUACUAAACAUAAUACGAUCCAAAAAGCUAUGCCACAUAUCAGUGGAACACACCAUUGAG
ensembl:lncRNA